GGAUAAACAAAUAUACGACCCUGGGGGAUGGAUCACUCGGCUCGUAUUACGAAGACGAACGCAAGCUAGACGCGUGAUCCAUGCGAACUGCAGGACACAUGGAACGUCUAUCCUUCCAACGCACAUGGCAGUCUUAACCUGAAACACGGUUUGGACUACACCUGGCUGAGGGU
rnacentral:rRNA from 1 species